rnacentral:misc_RNA from 1 species
GAUGAAGAACGCAGCGAAAUGCGAUAAGUAAUGUGAAUUGCAGAAUUCAGUGAAUCAUGGAAUCUUUGAACGCACAUUGCGCCCGCCAGUAUUCUGGCGGGCAUGCCUGUUCGAGCGUCAUUUCAACCAUCAAGCCCCCGGCUUGUGUUGGGGACCUGCGGCUGCCGCAGGCCCUGAAAACCAGUGGCGGGCUCGCUAGUCACUCCGAGCGUAGUAAUACAUCUCGCUCAGGGCGUGCUGCGGGUUCCGGCCGUUAAAAAGCCUUAUUUACCCAAGGUUGACCUCGGAUCAGGUAGGAAGACCCGCUGAACUUAAGCAUAUCAAUAAGCGGAGGA